UCACUUUCCCGUUGGCUACUCACUCGCCUUCAAUUUUCAUGCAGAAUACCGUGAACGGCCUCUGCUUAAUUAUGAUUGGACAACUGCGUAAACUUGGCAGAUAUUUGAUUCUCCUAUUGGUUAAACUUACUGUCAGUACCUGCAACUGAAACAGACAGAGUUAAUGUCCCACCCAGCUAAUUUAUGGUUGGGCUACCGCAGAGAAAAUGCAGAUAUUCAGUUGGAUGAUCGUAUCGCAGAGGUACUUCAGGAAAGAAAAAAAUAUGUCGAGUACGUACAAGCACAGCACCACUUUGAGGACCAAUGCUUUACAGGGACGACGGGGGCCCCCCUAGGAGGCGGGGCCCCGGGCUUCAGCCCAUGUAGCCCAUUGGCUUAACACCCUGACUGGAACCUGUCCAACACUGAUAUCCUUCCCCUACAGAACAUCCAAACUAAACAGCUGUGGGAAUCCAGCGAGGAGAGACUGUUGGAAAAAAAUCCGAACCUAGCAGCGUUCUGGGAGACGCCAACUACUAGACAGUGCUAUAUCAAGACUGGACACUGAUAGAAGACCCCUAAUGGCAAUGCCCAGAGAGGGACAUGAAAUGAAACCUAGGGGAAGACCAAGGAUUCGCAAGACAGAUACCAUCAUGAACAACCUGCAGCAGGAAGGCUUAAAGAUGAAUGAAGCCCUGGAGUUGGUGUCAGACAGAAAACAGUGGAGCGACAUUCUGCCCCAUCAUCGCUGCUGAGCUGAUAGAUGGGAAUCUAAGAGAAGAAUAGUGCUGGGACAAAUAUUCUGAGAGAAGUAUAUCUGACAACUUGAGGUUCAUAGGAUUCAAUAAUGGCAAUGGUAGCUGAUGUAACUUAAAAAAGAGGAUGAUGAGUAAGUAGAUUCAAGAAACUGCACAGAGUCCUUUUCUUCAGUCAGUUGUUAGGUUUAUUGAAAUAUGCAGGGAGCCUGGUCCCAGGUACAGGACAAACAGAAUACUCGUUCUUACAAUUGUUGCAUGACAUUAAAUACCCUUCUGCAUA